ACGGCUCAGUAACACGUGGAUAACCUGCCCUUGGGUCUGGGAUAACCCCGGGAAACUGGGGAUAAUACCGGAUAACGCAUAUAUGCUGGAAUGCUUUAUGCGUAAAAUGGAUUCGUCUGCCCAAGGAUGGGUCUGCGGCCUAUCAGGUAGUAGUGGGUGUAAUGUACCUACUAGCCUACAACGGGUACGGGUUGUGAGAGCAAGAGCCCGGAGAUGGAUUCUGAGACAUGAAUCCAGGCCCUACGGGGCGCAGCAGGCGCGAAAACUUUACAAUGCGGGGAACCGUGAUAAGGGGACACCGAGUGCCAGCAUCAUAUGCUGGCUGUCCAGAUGUGUAAAAUAUAUCUGUUAGCAAGGGCCGGGCAAGACCGGUGCCAGCCGCCGCGGUAACACCGGCGGCCCGAGUGGUGAUCGUGAUUAUUGGGUCUAAAGGGUCCGUAGCCGGUUUGGUCAGUCCUCCGGGAAAUCUGAUGGCUCAACCAUUAGGCUUUCGGGGGAUACUGCCAGGCUUGGAACCGGGAGAGGUAAGAGGUACUACAGGGGUAGGAGUGAAAUCUUGUAAUCCCUGUGAGACCACCUGUGGCGAAGGCGUCUUACCAGAACGGGUUCGACGGUGAGGGACGAAAGCUGGGGGCACGAACCGGAUUAGAUACCCGGGUAGUCCCAGCCGUAAACGAUGCUCGCUAGGUAUCAGGCAUGGCGCGACCGUGUCUGGUGCCGCAGGAAAGCCGUGAAGCGAGCCACCUGGGAAGUACGGCCGCAAGGCUGAAACUUAAAGGAAUUGGCGGGGGAGCAC
rnacentral:rRNA from 1 species